UUUUGUGAUAAUUAGAAAAGGUUCAAAAAACCCCCAAACCUGUCUGCAUUGCUGAGCCCCUUGGAGUUAAAGCCACUACAUCUAUAAUGUGGAGUCCACGGAGGUGCAAAACCUGGAAACCAGGCCAAGCUGGAAGAACAGAGAGGUCCUGAAGAAACUGGGUACCAAUAACUAAGAAAAAAAAAAGGAUUGGUUUUCUUUGUGAAAAGAAGGACAUUUGAGGACAAUUACAAGAGGCAAGCAGGAAAUGUGUUUCAAUGGAAAUAGCAUGAGCUUAGGAGUGAGGACUGGAAUUCUGACUAAUAUCAGCUCCAUGACCUUGGGGAAGAUAUUUAAAAUCUCUGGGCAAGAAUUUUUAUAUCUGUAAAAUUGGGAAAAUG
rnacentral:lncRNA from 1 species